GCGGGUGCUAUAAUGCAGUCGAGCGGACCUCUUCGGAGGUUAGCGGCGGACGGGUGAGUAACACGUGGGCAACCUGCCUGUAAGACUGGGAUAACUCCGGGAAACCGGAGCUAAUACCGGAUAGUAUCUUGAACCGCAUGGUUCAAGUUGGAAAGACGGUUUCGGCUGUCACUUACAGAUGGGCCCGCGGCGCAUUAGCUAGUUGGUGAGGUAAUGGCUCACCAAGGCAACGAUGCGUAGCCGACCUGAGAGGGUGAUCGGCCACACUGGGACUGAGACACGGCCCAGACUCCUACGGGAGGCAGCAGUAGGGAAUCUUCCGCAAUGGACGAAAGUCUGACGGAGCAACGCCGCGUGAGUGAUGAAGGUUUUCGGAUCGUAAAACUCUGUUGUUAGGGAAGAACAAGUGCGAGAGUAACUGCUCGCACCUUGACGGUACCUAACCAGAAAGCCACGGCUAACUACGUGCCAGCAGCCGCGGUAAUACGUAGGUGGCAAGCGUUGUCCGGAAUUAUUGGGCGUAAAGCGCGCGCAGGCGGUUUCUUAAGUCUGAUGUGAAAGCCCCCGGCUCAACCGGGGAGGGUCAUUGGAAACUGGGAAACUUGAGUGCAGAAGAGGAGAGUGGAAUUCCACGUGUAGCGGUGAAAUGCGUAGAGAUGUGGAGGAACACCAGUGGCGAAGGCGACUCUCUGGUCUGUAACUGACGCUGAGGCGCGAAAGCGUGGGGAGCGAACAGGAUUAGAUA
rnacentral:rRNA from 2 species